GAAAUGCGAUAAGUAAUGUGAAUUGCAGAAUUCAGUGAAUCAUCGAAUCUUUGAACGCACCUUGCGCUCCUUGGUAUUCCUUGGAGCAUGCCUGUUUGAGUAUCAUGAAAUCUUCAAAGUAUAUCUUUUGUUAACUCAAUUGGUUUCUACUUUGGUAUUGUAGGUCUUUGCAGCUUCACACCUGCUCCUCUUUGUUCAUUAGCUGGAUCUCAGUGUUAUGCUUGGUUCCACUCGGCGUGAUAAGUUAUCUAUCGCUGAGGACACUGUAAAAGGUGGCCAAGGUAAAUGCAGAUGAACUGCUUCUAAUAGUCCAUUGACUUGGACAAUACUUUUAUGAUCUGAUCUCAAAUCAGGUAGGACUACCCGCUGAACUUAAGC
rnacentral:misc_RNA from 1 species